GAUGAACGCUGGCGGCGUGCCUAAUACAUGCAAGUCGAGCGAACGGACGAGAAGCUUGCUUCUCUGAUGUUAGCGGCGGACGGGUGAGUAACACGUGGAUAACCUACCUAUAAGACUGGGAUAACUUCGGGAAACCGGAGCUAAUACCGGAUAAUAUUUUGAACCGCAUGGUUCAAAAGUGAAAGACGGUCUUGCUGUCACUUAUAGAUGGAUCCGCGCUGCAUUAGCUAGUUGGUGAGGUAACGGCUUACCAAGGCAACGAUGCAUAGCCGACCUGAGAGGGUGAUCGGCCACACUGGCACUGAGACACGGUCCAGACUCCUACGGGAGGCAGCAGUAGGGAAUCUUCCGCAAUGGGCGAAAGCCUGACGGAGCAACGCCGCGUGAGUGAUGAAGGUCUUCGGAUCGUAAAACUCUGUUAUUAGGGAAGAACAUAUGUGUAAGUAACUGUGCACAUCUUGACGGUACCUAAUCAGAAAGCCACGGCUAACUACGUG
rnacentral:rRNA from 1 species